CUAAAGGCUCUUUUCAGAGCCAUCCAUGUUUUCCAGAGAGAACUGU
rfam:Pteropus alecto contig104228, whole genome shotgun sequence.